rnacentral:lncRNA from 1 species
AUGUGGGGAAGCUGAAACAUGCGACAUGGUUCUUCCCUGAGGUGUCUUUGGAGUCGGCGAACGAGCUCUUCCUCGAGUUUCAAGACUUGGCGAGUAGGCCAUAUAGGCCUUCCAGUGUCGUUAAGUUUGUGAAGGAGUUUCAAGCCAAGAAUUCUAUUUUCUUCCAUCGACGCAAGAAGCAAUAGAGAAUAUAUAUAUAUUUCAUGAUUAAAGCAGUCCCCCUGUAAACAAGAGGAGGGCCAAAAA